GGCGACGUAGCUCAGCUGGUGAGAGCGCUCGACUCAUAAUCGAGAGGUCGACAGUUCGAAUCUGUCCGUCGCUACAA
rnacentral:tRNA from 2 species